rnacentral:misc_RNA from 1 species
UAAGUCAGUACAGUGAGCGCAUGUUUUGGGCGAUGAUUUUGGUAAAGAUCAUUUGAGUUAUGAGAUUGAUGCUGCCCAGGUAAAAUUAAAGGAGUCAAGCCAACAAAGGUGCUGCUGGGGGGAAGGAAGGAAAGAAGGGCUUGUAUUCUGGACGAGAGAAGGUCAAAGUUGGGUGGGCUGUCAGGUUUUACCUUUGCAAUGGUUCACCAGAUGUCUGGAGCUAAAAUGCGGAGAAGUUAUCAUCAUUUCUUCAGUGAAGCACAAUUGGUCAGCUGGAACCCGAUGAUUGUUAGCUCAUUGUUUAUAGUGCAUCUCUGGACAGUGUUGUUUCAUUGGCAAUUCACUGAAAUAGCUGAGAGGAGUCUUUGCUGUUUCAUUAGUUAUGACUUCCGGUUCUUUGCAAAUUUAGACUCCGGG